GAUGAAAAUUAAACUUUAAACUCCUAAUGUAGUAAUCUUCGUGGAAUCCAUGUAAAUUGUGUAAUAUCAGAAGAAAUGGUAGGGUACAUAAGCUUUUUUUUUUUUUUCUGAAUUUUUUGAAAAUUGCACCUCAGAAUGAAACUGGGACUUUUACACCUCAUAUAGAUACACACCCACACCCUAUAAAUAAUAAGAAAGAAAAAUGUUGGGGAAGAGACAGACUUAUAUCACUUGGACUCAAGCGUUGCUCAACAUGGGUGUCUUCGUUAUUUUCUCAAAUUUUCUAUGUGGUCAAAGGCUCGAUUGGACAUAAAAUGGGUAGUCCAAGAAAUAUAAAAAGUCAGAGCAACAUAGAGGCAAAUCGAAGAGGUCAUAGCCUCAGAAUAAAGGAAGGGAUCUUAAAUGCUGAGAUUCGGUUUCCAGCCUUUAGACGCCAACUCUUAAGGGUGUUGCAUAGACCAACUCAGGACAUUGGAGAAUUUAUUAAAGUUUGUUGAUGAAGUUGAAGACGAGCACA